GACCCCGCACAAGCGGUGGAUCAUGUUGUUUAAUUCGAAGAUACGCGAAGAACCUUACCAGGUCUUGACAUCCCUUGCAAUACUAUAGAGAUAUAGUGGAGGCUAUCAAGGUGACAGGUGGUGCAUGGUUGUCGUCAGCUCGUGUCGUGAGAUGUUGGGUUAAGUCCCGUAACGAGCGCAACCCUUGUCGUUAGUUGCCAGCAUUAAGUUGGGGACUCUAACGAGACUGCCAGUGAUAAACUGGAGGAAGGUGAGGAUGACGUCAAAUCAUCAUGCCCCUUAUGACCUGGGCUACAAACGUGAUACAAUGGAUAGAACAAAGGGAUGCGAAGCAGUGAUGUGGAGCGAAACCCAUAAAAAUAUUCUCAGUUCGGAUUGAAGUCUGCAACUCGACUUCAUGAAGCUGGAAUCGCUAGUAAUCGUGGAUCAGAACGCCACGGUGAAUACGUUCUCGGGGUUU
rnacentral:rRNA from 1 species